CGAAAACAUUCAAAACAAAAACACUCGAAACGAAAAUAAAAUAUUCACCACCGCCUCGUUUGCCAACAUCGUCUUUACAAGGAAUGUCCAGCAGUGCAUGACAGAGGCCGGUCACUCCCAUUCAGUCCAGGCAGCUGAAGAGCCUUCCCAAAGACAGUUCAUAGGACAAAAUGCAGUUACACAGAUUUUAACGGUGUUGGAAACAAUGAGAGACGAGAACAGGGAAAUGAAGCGGAUGCUGCAGCGGCUCUUGGCUAGGUCAGCUACUGAUGA